UACGGGAGGCAGCAGUGGGGAAUAUUGGACAAUGGGCGAAAGCCUGAUCCAGCCAUGCCGCGUGUGUGAAGAAGGUCUUCGGAUUGUAAAGCACUUUAAGUUGGGAGGAAGGGCAGUAACCUAAUACGUUAUUGUUUUGACGUUACCGACAGAAUAAGCACCGGCUAACUCUGUGCCAGCAGCCGCGGUAA
rnacentral:rRNA from 1 species